UGGCUGACCCUCGCCUCGACGACCAAGCAAAACGCAAAGCCACGAAGAAAGAAAAUAUAUCAAGAAUCCGCUUCACCUUUUUCUUUUUCCCUUUUUAUUUAAUUUUUAUCGAGCGGCUAUUUUAAAUAAUUAUAUUAAAUGUUUUCAAAUAACAAAACAAUUAAAUGACUAGAGAAUCUGGGGUAAUCGUUAAGAUGUUGAUUCAAAAAUGAAUUUUGGUUCCAGAGGUUGGAUAAGAUGAAGGAUUCUAAUAGACAAAGCAAGCAACUUGAAGAACUUGCUGGCAGGAUGAGAAACUCUAAAAGAUGUUUCUGAAUCGAGUUUUAAUGAGCGCUAAUUUUGUAAUGUAUUCAAAGAUGGGGACGCUCGAAACUCUCCUCAAGUAAAUAAGUAAUUGAAUGAUGAGAAACAAUCUAUAGUGAGUUGACUCUCUGUUUUGAUGAAAUUUAUGGAGGUUGUAAUCAUUUUGAGAUUCUAGCUUUUUUAAUAAUACUUCUGAAGUAAUCAUUGCAAUAGUUAAUGUGUUAUAGAUAUUCUAUGAACAUCACUAUUAGCAUUUUGGUUUCUGUGUCUUUUCAAAAUCUGCUUGUUGAUAUUUCCUCCGAUUUAUGUGACGGAUUAAGAAACGCAACUCUUAUGUUGCACUAAGAAAAACGAGUACGCCUGUCAUGCCAUUUCCAAGAAGCUGCAUUGUCCUAUACUAUUUCACAUCGAUCCUUUUAGGAAGUGUAUUCAAGAUGUUUGUGUUGUGUGACUUCAGGUACACUCGGCAACAAGAAAGUUGAUCUUUUUGGGUACGGGAGCUGGAUUCAGCAGGUGAACCCACAGCAGAAGAAAAUGUGUCUUCAUGUGAGUCUCUGUCUACAUGAAGUUGCUAUUGGAAGCCUAAAGCUGCUUGCUGCUACAUGUUCUAGAAUAGUUAAUCCUGUACUACGAGCUUUUGGGUUAAUGAUUUUUGUUUAUAUAUAUAUAUAUAGCAAUGUCAAACCAAGAGCUUGUCGAUGCUGGAAUGAGGAGGAUGGACGAGACUGACCAGGCUAUUGAACACCCUAAACAGGUUGUUCAUCAGACAGUGGAAAUCGAUACUCAAACCGCAGCUAAUUUAAAGGGCCAGGUAACACAAAGCAUUCACCAUCUUGUCCUGAUAUUCCUAUGAGGCGUACUACGUUGACCUCCUAUAAAUUUGACAGGCGGAUCAAAUGGGCCGGGUUGGGAAUGACCUAGACACAAUUCAGUUCUCUAUCAAGAAAGCUUCAAAGCUGGUUAAAGAGAUAGAAAGACAGGUUUGCAUAAUCUAAUCUCCCUGGAGAUAAGUUUCUCAAUGCAAAAGCUACUGAAGCUGUAGCUACAGAUACGUGCAUAAUGAUGUUCCUGUUUCUGAUGGUAGGUGGUGUUAUAGCCAUUAUUGUUGUGAAGGUUAAUAACUAUUGCAUUCUCCAAUUUUUUCAUAUGAAGUUUGGGUUCUGACUCUACUUGUAAAACAAACUAGCCUUUGACCCGCGCACACGCGCAGAUGUCAUUUUUUAUACAAAUAACUAAUUUAUAUAUAUAUAUAUAUAAUAUUUGCUAUUUUACAUAUUGGUUUUAUAUGACAUAUCUACCCAUAACAUUUUUAUUGUUUAUACGUUGUAAUCUUAAAUGUUCCUAUAUUAAAUUCCUUUAGUGGUUUGUUUAUAUGAAUGAUUUGUAAAUUGUAAAAAUUUGGAAUAUAAAUUAAAAAAUAUAUAUAGGAACAUAUAUAUAUAUAUAUAUAUAUAUAUAUAUAUAUAUUACAUGCUAUAAUGGUGAAGCUCUUAUUUUAUUUUCUCAUAAUUUCACUAUUGUCAAUCCAUUUUAGUAUAUAUAUUAGUCUAAUGCACAGGCUCAAUUAACAUACUAAUAGAUCAUAUUAGUAAAAUAAUUUAUAAGUAAAUAAAUGGACAGUGUAUACAUUAGAAUUAACCUAUUAACAUAAGCUUCUAGAUGAAAUGGCUAAGAUAAUUUACAAAGUAAAUAAAUGGACCACGACAUUGUAUUUCUUCAACUAAACCCAUAUGCAAUUCUAAAAAAAAAAUUUCCGGACCAUUCAUCUUCCCCUAGACUGUGUAUUUCGUUUUUUUUUGUCAGUGAGGCAGAAACAUUAUUUCCUCUUCUCAAUUCAUGAACCUAAGAAAGAUUGUAAGAUAUAUCUACAUGAUUUCCAUCUUCGUAUCAAAGGGCGCAAGUGGAUCCGCUUCAUUUUCUCAAGAUAAGUCACAUCGUCAGUGAUUGCUAAGUUCAAACUCGCUUUAAAGAAGCUUCGGCGUAGAUCAAUGUCCAUUCUAUAUUAGAGAAGUUGGGUUGACUUAAUUGCAGAAGCAUUGUUUAUAUGCUAGAACAACCAAGUAUUGUGAUAAGAAGAGUCACGGAAUCGACAUUGCAAGUUAAGUUCAGAUAGUCUAAUAGUACAUGAAUACUAUUCCGAGUUAGUGUCAAUUUUCUUAUAGCUUAUUUGCUUUCAUACAUUCAGUAUUAGUACUAUCGACAAACUACUCUUACUGGAGAAACAAAGGGACAAUAGCCAGUUACACAAAAGCAAAAGGGAGAAGGACAGAAAGAUGAGGAUCAGUUGUAAAAAAACAUAGUGGAGGGACAAAAAACAUAUGGUAAGAAAUUGUCAAAUAUUUCUGCCCUUUCAUAAUAUUGUAUCAUGUAUGUCAUAUGUUUUAUAAAACGUUCUAUCUUUAUUUUUAAAUGAAUUACGUUGAUUUUUUUAAACAAUCAUCAUAUGAUGAUAUUUGACCUU